GCGGAAGUGGCGGAAUCGGCAGACGCGCUAGUUUGAGGGGCUAGUGUCAAUAAAACGACGUGGGGGUUCAAGUCCCCCCUUCCGCACCA
rnacentral:tRNA from 3 species